CCUACGGGUGGCAGCAGUCGAGAAUCAUUCACAAUGGGGGAAACCCUGAUGGUGCGACGCCGCGUGGGGGAAUGAAGGUCUUCGGAUUGUAAACCACUGUCAUGUGGGAGCAAAUUAAAAAGAUAGUACCACAAGAGGAAGAGAAGGCUAACUCUGUGCCAGCAGCCGCGGUAAUACAGAGGUCUCAAGCGUUGUUCGGAAUCACCGGGCGUAACGCGGGCGUAGGCUGUUUCGUAAGCCGUGUGUGAAAGGCGCGGGCUCAACCCGCGGGCGGCACAUGAUACUGCGAGACUAGAGUAAUGGAGGGGGAACCGGAAUUCUCGGUGUAGCAGUGAAAUGCGUAGAUAUCGAGAGGAACACUCGUGGCGAAGGCGGGUUCCUGGACAUUAACUGACGCUGAGGCACGAAGGCCAGGGGAGCGAAAGGGAUUAGAUACCCGAGUAGUC
rnacentral:rRNA from 1 species